rnacentral:rRNA from 1 species
GACGAACCCUGGCGUGAGGCUUACCUCAUGCGCUUCCCACUCAGAGACCCUCGGGCUACUGCAGGCGCAAAUACUGUGUCCGACCGGCGCCUAUCGCGUAAAUGACCUGCCCUCCAGCGCCGGACAAUCGCAGUCAAACCGUGGCUAAUACAUGCACGUCUUACUGGACCCCCCAUGCGGGACCAGAUCAAAGCUUGGAGUUACCCACGCGCCUUUGGAUGGGUCUGCGUUAGUGAUUACUUGUUGGUGAGGCAACUGCUCACUCUAGCGACCAUCGCUUACCUGGUCGUGAGACGACGAUCUACCGCACUGGAUACAGAUACACUGCCCACCACUCUCUACCGGAGGCAGCAGCUGGGGAAUCCUGCACAAUGGGGUCGACCCCUGAUGCAGCCAUGCCGCGUGGAGGAAGACACCCCUAUGGGGCGUAAACUCCUUUUCUGAACACAACAAACCCCUGAAGGUUCAGGGCGCGACCGCAAUUCGCGAAUAAGCACAAGCUAACUCCCUGCCACCGUCCUCUGUAAUACGGACGGUGCUAACGUUCUCCGGAUAUCCCUGGGUGUAAACGGUGUGCACGCGGGGCUAGCGCGUCCCCAUGUGAAACUCCCAUGGACUCUAACCAUGGAGGUGUCUUCGACACUGUUGCUCAUGAGUCCCGCAUAGGCUGAUCCACAUUCCUGGUGUACCGGUGAAAUGCGAACAUAUCACGAUGAACGCCAGAAGCAACAGCGGGCCUCUGGACGGGUACUGACGCUCAUGCACUACCGCAUGGGGAGCACACAUGAUUAUAUACGCUGUUACUCCACGCCGUACACGAUGAACGCUCGCAGUCGCCCCGCUCAAGGGGCAGUGGCUAAGUUAUCGCGUUAAGCGUUCCACCUGGGGAGUACGAUCGCAAGGUUGAAACUCAAAGGAAUUGACGUGGGCCCGCACAAGCGGUGGAGCACGCGGCUCAAUUCGAUGCAACGCGAAGAACCUUACCUCGGCUCGAACGCUAGAGGACCGCUCCUGAAAGGGAGCUUCCCCUUUGGGGCCUCUAGCGAGGUAGUGCAUGGCUGUCGUCAGCUUGUGUCUUGAGAUGUUGGGUUAAGUCCCGCAACGAGCUUAACCCCCGUUGGUAGUUACCAUAGGGUAGGCGAGGGGACUCUAGAGAAAUCGCCUGCGCAAGCUGUGAGGAAGGUGGGGAUGACGUCAAGUCAUCAUGGUCGCUUACGCCUAGGGUCGCACACGUGUUACAAUGGUCCGCGUACAACGGGUAGCCACCUAGCGAGAGGGAGAGAAUCCCGCGAAAACCGGUCCCAGUUCGGAUGGGAGUCCGCAACUCGAUUCCAUGAAGCAGGAAUCGCUAGUAAUCGCGGAUCAGCAAUGCCGCGGUGAAUCCGUUCCCGGGCGCUGUACACACCGCCAGUCAAGCCAUGGAAGCCGAGAGCACCCGAAGUCCGCGACUCAAGUCGGGCCAUGCGCCGGAGAGAGAGCGGCCGAAGGUGAGCUCAGCGACGGGGGCGU